rnacentral:sRNA from 6 species
GUUUGCACUUGUCGGGGAAGGGUGAGAACCUUCGAUUAAGGUUCGACUCGAGCGAAAGCGAGAGAACGUUGCCAACGGCAACGGCCCGUAGGAUGAGGAGCGAAGCGACGAAUAAUCCUUCCCCCACCACCA